rnacentral:rRNA from 1 species
CAUGCAAGUCGAACGAUGAACCCGGAGCUUGCUCCGGUGGAUUAGUGGCAACGGGUGAGUAACACGUGAGUAACCUGCCCUUGACUCUGGGAUAACAGUUAGAAAUGACUGCUAAUACCGGAUGAUGGUCUUCGGACCAAAGAUUUAUCGGGCAAGGGAUGAGCCCGCGUAGGAUUAGGUAGUUGGUGGGGUAAAGACCUACCAAGCCGACGAUCCUUAGCUGGUCUGAGAGGAUGAUCAGCCACACUGGGACUGAGACACGGCCCAGACUCCUACGGGAGGCAGCAGUGGGGAAUAUUGGACAAUGGGCGCAAGCCUGAUCCAGCAAUGCCGCGUGAGUGAUGAAGGCCUUCGGGUCGUAAAGCUCUUUUACCAGGGAUGAUAAUGACAGUACCUGGAGAAUAAGCUCCGGCUAACUCCGUG